rnacentral:misc_RNA from 1 species
AGAAACUCAGCAUGACAGUGGAGGCAUCCAAAUCCAUUUACUGCUAACUGAUUCUGGAAACACUUAUUGGACUGGAUGAAGCAGUUGCCCAACUGCCCAUAUCCUUCAAAAGAUCUAGCCUAGUAAUACUGCGGCCCAAACCUACAUAAUGGAUGACCAAAAUUAGCAUAUUUCGAAGGAAAAAGCAAAAAGAAAGGGGCAGACGAACAGAAGAAAUUUUUGGCCAUUGAUUAUGAUCAGUAAUGCUUACAGAACCUUUGCUAUAAUUUAUUCUCUGCCUGCAGCAUCAUUUCAAAGCUUGGACAUCAUUCAAAAAUAUCUAAUAUGCUUUUCAGGAAUAUGUUUUAUCUUUGACCAAUCUUCACCUCCUUCUGCACCCCUCUCUUCCAAUAACGGACACUCCAUGAUAUACAAUGAACAAAGCGAAGCUGACAACCCUGAAGCUGGUAAGCAUGCUAGUUUUGGGCAAGACUGUAUAAACAAAUUUUCAAGAUUUCGGGGUUCGAGGAGACGCACAGGAAAUGAUUCAAGGUUAGCACAUGCUGAAAGUCUCAAAUUCUUGAGUGAGUUUCCCAGCUUCUCUUCAGGGAAAGAUACAAGUUUAGGACAUUAGGAAAUAUGCAGCUCCUCAAGGAAGGAUAAGUUCUGUAGCCCACUAGGUAGACCCUUCAAAGUACUGCACAUGUCAAUUGAAAGAUGUU